UACAGAGGUGGCGAGCGUUAUUCGGAAUUAUUGGGCGUAAAGGGCGCGUAGGCGGCCAAGCAAGUCCUGGGUGAAAUCCCUCGGCUCAACCGAGGAACUGCCUCGGAAACUGCAUGGCUUGAGGCCGGGAGAGGGUAGCGGAAUUCCCAGUGUAGCGGUGAAAUGCGUAGAUAUUGGGAGGAACACCGGUGGCGAAGGCGGUUCUCUGGGCCUGUACUGACGCUGAGGAGCGAAAGCGUGGGGAGCGAACAGG
rnacentral:rRNA from 1 species